UACGUAGGGUGCGAGCGUUAAUCGGAAUUACUGGGCGUAAAGCGUGCGCAGGCGGUUCGUUAAGUUCGUUGUGAAAGCCCCGGGCUCAACCUGGGAACUGCAAUGGAAACUGGCGGGCUUGAGUGCAGGAGAGGAACGCGGAAUUCCAGGUGUAGCGGUGAAAUGCGUAGAUAUCUGGAGGAACACCGGUGGCGAAGGCGGCGUUCUGGACUGCAACUGACACUGAGAAACGAAAGCCAGGGUAGCAAACGGG
rnacentral:rRNA from 1 species